UUAGUUGAAGUCAAAGAGAGACAUACUAUUGUUAAUAGUAUAAUUGAAUGAAUAUUUCCAAUUAAA
rnacentral:tRNA from 1 species